rnacentral:rRNA from 1 species
UGGGGAAUAUUGCACAAUGGGCGCAAGCCUGAUGCAGCCAUGCCGCGUGUGUGAAGAAGGCCUUCGGGUUGUAAAGCACUUUCAGCGGGGAGGAAGGCGUUAAGGUUAAUAACCUUGGCGAUUGACGUUACCCGCAGAAGAAGCACCGGCUAACUCCGUGCCAGCAGCCGCGGUAAUACGGAGGGUGCAAGCGUUAAUCGGAAUUACUGGGCGUAAAGCGCACGCAGGCGGUCUGUCAAGUCGGAUGUGAAAUCCCCGGGCUCAACCUGGGAACUGCAUUCGAAACUGGCAGGCUAGAGUCUUGUAGAGGGGGGUAGAAUUCCAGGUGUAGCGGUGAAAUGCGUAGAGAUCUGGAGGAAUACCGGUGGCGAAGGCGGCCCCCUGGAAAAAGACGGACGCUCAGGUGCGAAAGCGUGGGGAGCAAACAGG